AUGCUUAUGAACUCUCCUCUCUCCCGUUCUAAAACAAGCUCUCGACCGCUUCUUCCUUUUUUCUUCUGUUUCUCUAAAUCUCAGUUUCUCUUGUUUCUUAUCAAUCUCACGAUUUCUCAUUGCCUUUAUACUACCAUAAAACAACAACAACAACAAACAAUCAUCUGCUUCAUUAUUCUUUGUCACUUCAGUUUUCAAACAACAACUACAUCUCUUGCUCGGAUUCAAGCAAUCAGAAACAACAACAAUAACGUAACUUUGUUUUGGUUUCGGUUCUAA